rnacentral:rRNA from 1 species
ACGGGUGAGUAACACGUGGGCAAUCUGCCCUUCACUCUGGGACAAGCCCUGGAAACGGGGUCUAAUACCGGAUACCACUUCCACUCGCAUGGGUGGGGGUUGAAAGCUCCGGCGGUGAAGGAUGAGCCCGCGGCCUAUCAGCUUGUUGGUGAGGUAACGGCUCACCAAGGCGACGACGGGUAGCCGGCCUGAGAGGGCGACCGGCCACACUGGGACUGAGACACGGCCCAGACUCCUACGGGAGGCAGCAGUGGGGAAUAUUGCACAAUGGGCGAAAGCCUGAUGCAGCGACGCCGCGUGAGGGAUGACGGCCUUCGGGUUGUAAACCUCUUUCAGCAGGGAAGAAGCGAAAGUGACGGUACCUGCAGAAGAAGCGCCGGCUAACUACGUGCCAGCAGCCGCGGUAAUACGUAGGGCGCAAGCGUUGUCCGGAAUUAUUGGGCGUAAAGAGCUCGUAGGCGGUCUGUCGCGUCGGAUGUGAAAGCCCGGGGCUUAACCCCGGGUCUGCAUUCGAUACGGGCAGACUAGAGUGUGGUAGGGGAGAUCGGAAUUCCUGGUGUAGCGGUGAAAUGCGUAGA